CCUUACCCCAGCCAUCCCCUGCCCUUUCCCCAGCUGCACAGGAGCAUGCUGCUCACCACCUCUGCUCCGUAAGCACGACCCAGGAGCUCCCUCCUGCUUUUCCAGCAGCUCUUUCCAGCACUUUUUAGGACCAUUGCUCUGCACAGGGCAGGAGGCAGCCCUCAUUUGCGCUUAGAAGGGUUCGCAGGGCAGGAAGGAGCCAAUGGCCCCUCGGAGACGUGGGGAGCAGCCCCCCCUGGAGCCAGCAGUGUGCGCGGGGGCUGAUGGAGAGCCCGAGGGAAGCACAGCUGAGCCGUCACCUGUUGGAGCUCAGACGGCCACAGCUGCGCCCGCCGCUUUGAACACUCUGGAUUAGGCAGACGAGUGCCCCGCACACACUUGUGCUCUGCAUGCCAAUGCCUUCCUCCUCCUCCUCCUCCUCCUCCUGCAGCCUCCCUCCUCCCAGUGCACUGCUGGAGCUGCAUGCAUGGCACAGGGUCUCAAACUGACAGAGCAGUGGAGGCACCUGCAAUGAAGAUAAGCUGACAAAACAUUCAGUGCUUGAGGAGCUUCCUUUCUGCUUUUGGCCCUAGCGUGAGCAAAAUGUGGGGUCUCCAGGAGGUGCCUCAGCUCACCCAUAUGGUUCAUCACCACCUGAGCUGCAAAGUGCUGCUCGGAGGUCAGGAUGUGCCCUCUGCCAUUCCAAGAGGAGAGGGAUCACUCUGGCUCUGGGUUGUCGGAUUUUUGCCUUUUUAAAGCUUUCCUCCCUGUGCCAUGCUUCUGAAAUCGCCCCAUCUCGCUAUCUGCUCCCCAUGCUCAUGCGUUGGGUCUGUUUAAGAGCAGGGCUGUAACAUUAACGAGAUUUAUGGCCGACUCUGGAGUGGAAGGGCAGAGAGCCGGGUGUUUUUUUCUUUUUCCUCAGGUGAAAGAAAACCUCGAAUGUUAACUCACGAGACAUUACAACGACUGCUCCUUCAAUCCUUGAUUUACGAGCUCAAAUUUAUGAGUUAAAAAUUAUUAUUCCACUCGCAUAUAUUUUUUCCCCUGGUCGUUUUAGUGCUUGUGAAAGGUGAGGGUUUUGACAGCUCCUGGAAACAAAAGCCUUUAAUAUCUCCCUGAGCGAGGCUCUCCCAGGCCAGAAGAGAUCUGCCAGCGGCUUUUCCUCGCCGCCGCAGAUAUUGCUCUCUCCAGCCCUGGCUUAUCCAAACAGAGAGGACUUUAGCAGGAGAUAAGGAAGGGCUGAUGAGCAGCGUCUGUCCUUCGUGCCUCCGGGAUCCUCCUCCGCAUCCGGAGUCAGGCUGGAGACAGCAGCUGCCACAAGGAUGCCCGCCACAGUUUUGGUUUGGGGCUUUUUUUUUUCCAGGCUCUUUAGCAGGGCAUAUAUAGGAGCCCUGCUUCUGUUGCUUGCAGCAAAUGGAUAAAAUUGGGCAUAGCACUGAGUUUUUAGUAAAUAAGUUGUGUAUUUCCCUAAUGCCAUGAGCAGCACACUGCAGCGAGCUGUGCCUGCUUGCCCUCCUCCUCCAGGGCAGCUCCAGAUUUCCCUGAUCCCAUUGGAAAACUUUCUGCUCCAAAAGAGCAGUCAGGCACUGUCGCUGCUGCACCAGGAUGUGGUGGGGUCACCAUCCCCAGAAAUGUUCCAGAACCACAGGGAUGUGGCACUCAGGGAUGUGGUCGGUGGGCAUGGUGGGAUCUGAGAGGGCUUUUCCAACCUGAAUGACUGUGAUUCUGUAAUGAAGGACCCACCCCAUCCCCAAGCAGUACCAGCAGCUCAGGCUGAAAGCGGGCAGCAGCCUUUAAAAGGUGACAUCCAUGAAAUGCCAAGGAGCAAAUAUAUUCUCUUUAAAGCAUGUGUCACUCAGUUUCUUAGAGAACCCAGGGAUUAAAACCUCCAUGGAUCUGAGGAAACAGUGCCAGAGCCCCUGCUGCACUUCAUCAGAGUACAUUUUUGACAAAGCUUUUCUCAUUCAAUAACAAUUUAGUUGACCAAAAACUGAAUCCAAAAGGACAAGCAACUCUGUGGCAUUUUUGUUGCAUUUUCAGCAUUUUUUCAUGUCUGUUUGCCGUCUGCUGCCUUAGCAAUGGGAAGGUGGUGGUGGUGAUGUGCUGGAGGGAAAGUGAGAGCCCCAAAAAACAGCUGGGAGUGACGGGGUGCAUCCCAGCCAUGGUGGCUGCUGUCCCCAUCUCACCAUGCUGCAGAAGAUACUUCUAGACUUACUGGUCAGGAAAACAAAAUGUUGGGGUUUGAGCUGUUGGAAUGCCAAAGCAGAAAGGCCGUGCUUGAGCCGCUUGAGAGAGGAAUAUUUGGGAGUGGAAUAUUUGAGCUUUGUAUGGACAGAAUCUGCAGGCACUUCUCCAUGUGAGUCCUUAUGGGGCCGGUCUGUCCUGGGGUGCAUUUUUGUCCCAUUCUCUGCCCAUGGAUAGACCAGGUGUCUCACUUACUGCAUCCUGCUUCCUUCGGGGGCAAGAGGAGUUUGAGGCAGAACAAGUACUGCUGGGUGUCCAGCUUCACGCAUCCCUAUCUAUGCCUGUCUCCUCCUGUCCUCCCACAGAGCGCACUGAGGGAUCCCUGGGAUCCAGCACAGCCCUUGCGUUCUCCAUCCACGCACCACAAGGAUCUCUCCUGGUGAUUCCUGCUGCUGGAUGAGCUGAGGCUCAGGGCCGGGUGAUGUGAAGCUGUGAGCUGCUGAGGUCAGGUGUGGGCAGGAGGGCUCCAGGCUGGCUGUGCAGUCAGGUCUGAGCCGGGCCCAACACGUGCAUCAUCCACAGGAGCAGGCAGCCAGCGUUCCCACCGCGCGUGUCACGGUUCCCAGGAUAACCAAGGCAUCCAUACAAACAAAACACAGAAACCCUCCGUCUCUCCGGAGACAAGUCACAAACACAGAGCCAGGCCAAGCCCAUUGAUGGAGCUGCACGCAGUGAAUCACCCACCCAGCUGCAGCCGAAACAAUUUGGGUCAAAUAUACACUCUGGCAAAACUCCACUGCCUUAUCUCGUGCUUUGCUUGCUGUACCUCAGCUCAAGGUUUGCUUUGCGGCGCUUUCAGCUGGCUGCAGAGUGCUCAGUGCUGAGGGUGGGCACUGCUUGUGCUGUUACCUGCUUGGAUGCUUUUAUUCCUAUUAGUGAUGAUGACAUUUUCCUUCCUGGCUGACGUUCCCUGCAGCUGAGCACAGAGGAUAGAGACAUUCACGAGGAGCUGCACUGAACUCUGCCUGUUCCCAGGGGCACUGAAGAGCACUCAGACCACCAGCAGCUGUGGAGGUGGACUGGGACCUUCCCAGUGCAGGGCUGGGGCUGUGCCCAUCUCCAUGCAGGGCUGCACUGAGCUCCGAGCACUGCUCCUGCUCCAUGAGUGUGGGCCCAGAGGACCUUCCUCCAAGAUUACAUCAGUAGCAUGAGGAUGCUGAGUGUACUGUCUGGGAAUCUAGAAGACGAGGGCUGUUUUGUUGUGUUUUUUUUUUUUAUUUUUUUAUUUUUUUUUUUUUGAGAUUAUGUAUAUGAUAAACUAUGUUCUUCUGACUCUCUCUUUUGGGCUGCUUGCAGAAGGGAUGUGCUGCAAUAGGAACGUUGCGUGGUUCACCCAUACCUGGGACAGUUUUCUUUGAUGGGACAGGAGCAGGGCUGGGCUUGAGGCUUCUGCCCCGUUUGAUCCCAGUUGUACAGAUGGAAACCACAGGGAGGAACAUGCACGGUGCUGCCCUCUCUGCUGAUGGGGUCACGGCAGGAGCUGGGCUGCAGUGGGAUGCUGUGCUUGUGGGUACUACUGUGAGGAUGCUGAAAGCAGCAAAAAGCUCAGCAUGGCUUUAUUUGUGCUGUGCAGAUCUCCUUGUAGCUGUUUAUGGAGGUUUGGGUGCCCUAUCCCUAGAAGUCCCUGAGGCCUUAGAAGGGCUCCGGGCAGCCUGAGCUUGGAGAGGGGGGGAAGGAGGGGAGCAGCCAGCCCAUGGCAGGGGUGGUGCUGGGAGAUCCCUUCCAACCCAACCAUUAUGUGAUUGUAUGACAGAUUUCAGUAGAUCUGGGAUGUAGCUUUGUACGACAAGAGAAUGUGGUGUUUCCAGUUUCUUAGCAUGGGAUUUUACCCCAUGAUAGACAGUGAGGUGGGAGAAGGCUUAUUAGGACAAGCUGCUUCUCCCCAACAGCGGUCAGGCACUGGCACUGCUGCCCAGGCAGGUGGGAGGGAGGGGUUAAUGUCCCUGUGUAUGGGAACUAUUGAAUCACAGCAUCAACCACUGAUUGAGCACCUGGGGAAAGGACCUGGUCAAUCCUGGGAGCAGAGGCGAAGGCAAUUCAGCUGCGUGACCAGACGGGGUGGAACCUGGCUGCAGCUCUCUUAGACCCCAUUUAAGGGCUGACUGCCACUGGGGAGGGGUCUUUUUCUGGACAUCCCUCCCUGGUGAAGCUUUCCCCUGUGAACCUUGAAUCUUCUGAUACAACUAUCUUUAUUCAAAGGGAGGGAGCUCCUUGAGUGGAUGUGGGGGAUAACUGAUCCUGCAUAACUGAUUAGAUAUCUAUUGGUGAAAGGAAACUGAAGAAAAGUCACACCUGAAACAGAGAAACCCAGAGCGAGAGACACAGCCCUGCUGUACACAGGAAAGCUCAGAGCAUCACCAGCCCAAGAAAUGCCCUGGCUGCGUUCAUACCCAGCACAAGGCUAUGUGAAGGGGAGAUGCCCUCACCUUUCAGGAUGGGAGAUGCUGCAGAUCCUCAGGAUGUUUUGGGGUGCUGCAGUGGGACAGGAGCUGCAGAGCCAGCAUGAGGUUCUGCGGGGUGGUGCAGCAAGGUGAGGGGAAGCUGUCUGUGCAUGAGGACUGCAAUAUUGAGACAGAGGCUUGGCUGUUGCACUUCUUAUGCAGUCAUGCUGCAGCUUAGCAAAAGGAGCUUCUAUUAUUUUUAUGAUCGAUUUAGUUCUGCCUAUUGCUUGAGGAGAGUGAUGCCCUGCACCGCUGCUUGUGGCGGGCAGCACUGCCCUCUAGUGCGGCUGUACCUGUUGGCUGAAUGCUGGGGUUGGUGGGUUUUUUAAUGUUUCUUUCCUUGUUUUUGGUUUUUGUUUUUGUUUUUUUUUUCUUUUGGUUGGUUUUGGGUUUUUUUAGUCUGUUUUUGUUGUGUUUUUUUUUUAAUGGAAAAAUAAGGGUCACUGCUACAAAGGCUGAGGGAGCUGGAGUUAUUCAGCAGGGGAAAGGACGGCUCCAAGGGGAGCUGAUUGCAGCCCUUCAGGAGCUUAUAAACAAGAGGAGGAAGAACAACUUUUUACAUGGGCAGACAGAGAUAGGACAAGGGAGAAUGAAUCAUAGAAUCAUUCAGAUUGGAAAAUACCAACCAUGAAGUCCAACCAUUAACCCACCCCCACCACAUCCUUGGGCAGGAAGAUGUAGCCGGGGGAAUCAGCAAGGGAUGAUUAGAGACCCUCUUCUGUUUCCCAGCUUAAGUAUAUCUGUGCUUGCAACUUCCUCAGAGGAUGAGGAAUGAUAGAAUUGAGUUGGAAGGGACCUCUAAAGGCCAUCUGGUCCCAUUCCCUGCACUGAGCAGGGACACCCAGAGCUCCAUCAGUGCUCAGAGCCCUGUCCAGCCUGACUGUGGGUGCCUGCAGGGAUGAGGCACCGCCACUGGUCUGGGCACCCUGUGCCGUUCCUCACCACCCUUAGCAUGAACAAUUUCCUCUUUAUAU